CUCUCUCUCUCUCUCUCUCUCUCUCUCUCUCUCUCUCUCUCUCUCUCUCUCUCACACACACACACACACGUGUGCUAAACUGCUGGAAUGGCAGGAUGGCAGGAGAUGGGUUUUGAUGUUCCCUGCCUUUUCUUUUCUCUCUUAUAACAGUUCCACUUUUAGACAUGAAGAUGUCAAUCUCCUGCCCCUAGAGUAAUUCCAAAUUUUAUAUGCUCUUGACUAGAGUGUAGAAACAAGUUAUCCUGGGCCUCCGGCAUUGUCCUGGGAACGGCAGCAGCCCAGCACUAACACGGAGACAUCUGAAAGAAACCUUGGUGCUGCAUCGCAGAUUUCAAACGUGAGAACCUGCGGUUCCGUCUCCUGUCCCGUGACUGGUCCCUCACUCAACCUGCCCUCCUGUUCAUGCUUCACCUUUGCGGACAGUACGGAACUUGACAAUGCCAUCUUAUUAAUCAGGUUUCUGGCAGCUCGUACACAUGCUUUUCCUUGCUACCCAAAGGUACAGGUACCAAAGGUGAUGGUAUCACAGAUAAGGAAUUUUAUGAGUAGGAGACUUGGGUCUGUCUGUGUCCACCUGACCCAGCCAUUAGGCAAAGAGUUGUCAGGAAAGGUGUAAGCUGGGUGUGUCCACACUGGUGAGUACCUGCCCUUUCUCUGCUCAGGCAACCAGUCACAGGCUUAACACUUGUGUGUGGCAGAGCCCAGAUUCCUCUUCUUUUCAUCCUUUUAGGUCACCGAGUGUUAUAGGAAAGAGGUUACCCUUCCCUUUAGCCACCAGUCACUGGAGAGAACUGUGAAACAUCUGGGAUCCGUGGCUCAGCACAGUCCCUGGGCUGUUCAUCAUACUUGGGUAUGCAGAAUUAAUACAAGAUUACAGAACUGUCCCCAGACAAUGACUCUUACAGGUCCAAUGACAAGAGUGCAUGUGUUUGAUGAAGGGAGUGAAUGGUCUAGGUGUCACUGGUCAAGUCUAUACCUGAGUUUGGUAAAACAGAACCUAAGGAACUCAGGCCCUGGGAAGGGUUUCCUGGGCAUGACGUCACUGAUUGUCAUAAGGCUGUGUAUGCUGAGUAGGCGCGUCACCUUCCUGUCCCACAGGUUCAGGAAUGAGCUCAGGUCCCACACUCUGCAUUUCCCAGGCUGUGCAGUUCCUAUAUCAGGGGUCAUCUAGAAUAUGGGUUCUUUUUGUUUUCCAUUUUUCGUAUUCUGUAAGGUGAAGGCAGUCUCUUAAGAUCAUAGAAAAACUCCCUCAGCUCCUCCCCACUCCAAAGACAAGUCAGUCUUAGCAGGAACACACGUGUCCUCCCAGACAUCAGUUUGUCACACGGGGUUUAUGAGCACACCCUCCUCUCGAGCAGUUUGUGACACAGUCAUGAAUCUUCCCUGGUUCUUGGACUGAUGUGUAGAGGCAGGUUAGCAGCAUCCCUGGGUCCAGCACCCACUAGAGUCUCCAGGGCACACCCCCUCCUACCUCUGUCAUCAUCACUUGAUCUCUAAGGUGAGGCUUUGUCCUGAUGAGAAACAAACACCAAGGUGCUGCGAGAGCAAAGAUCCAUAUUGCUAUUGGGAGUGGAAGAAAGAGACCGCUGUUUUGAUUUCCUGAUUUGAAGGUGAGCAGUAUGGCCUGUUUCUUCAAGGUUCUAGGGAUCACUAUUCUGUGCUCAGUCUCCCGGGUGCUGGGAUGACAAGCGCCAUGUCAGCUUAGCUAUACUUCCUGAUGGCUGCUGUUUGCCGAAUGUGCCAGUUGACUGAGGAGUGUGAACCUUUCUGCGGGAAUGAGGACGGAAGGGAGUUGGGAUUUCAGGGUGUGCCUCCUCUCACUCCAGGUAUCUCUGAAACCCUGUGUGCAGAGACCACACUUCCUCGGGGCCUCACAUAGACAUUUGGAAAUUUUCUGUACAUCUUAGUCACUCUGUUCUGUUACCUUAGGUACUUUGUUGAGAAACUUAAAAAAGGCCUUGAAUAUGGAAACUCUGUUACCAUUGGUAGAAGAAACCGCAUCCUCAAGAAGAAAAAAGAAGAGGAAGUGGGACAGAAUGCUGCCUUCUGGAAAGAUUUUACGAAAACCCUCAGGAUUUGCUAAGGGGGUCUCUGGUCCAGCUGGGCCAAUGGAUGGUGGUGAAGAAAGUCAGAGCGGAGUGGUGGAUCCUGGUGCAGCAUGGUCAUCUCCAACGGCUGAGGCCUCUUCUGUAGGAACCACACCUUUCAAGCCCGCACUGGUAUGGCUUCGAGGAAGCUUCUGACGAAUUAGUCCUCAGCACAGCAGCGUAACCCACUUGGUCUUGGAGAAAUAUGGUGUUAACAAGGCCAGUUCAGAACCUCAAAGCCUGUAAUACUCAGUCAUUCUGAAAAAUUUGUGUGGCCAGUUCUUCCAUUCUGCGCCAAAGCACACAUGGUGUCCUGUGAGGUACACUGAUAAAGACAUGGACGCUCUUGCCUGAUCUACAACUGUUUCUUCUCUUUGGCUGCCCAUGACUCUCCAGAUGCAUAUCCAGGGUCCGAGUCUAUAUGUAUCACUCCACAGAAUGAGCAGUGUGUAGAAAGGCGAGAAAGGAGUACACCACAGCACAUGUGAUUGUCCCAGGGCCGAACAGAGGGCCUGAGCAUUGUCACAAACAAUAAGGAAGACCUCGUCUUCGUUCAAGAGGAACUGGUGCUGCUCUCUAGGCUGGAUCCACAUAAAUCUGACCUUGGUGACAGCGGCUCCUUCUGUCUCCUAGAAAGUACACUGGCUAAGCUGUUCUCUGAGCAGUCAAUCCAUUCCAGAUCUCCUCUCCCUGAGCACAGGCAGUCACUAGUGUUCCAGUGUUGAGGCAAAGAAGUAUUUUUCUAAUUUCAUCUGUCAUUAAAAGUCAUUCUUCAAAGUUCCAGUUCCUUGUGAGUCCGGGUGGUGCCAAGCAGCUUGCCUAGGAUGUAUGUGAACAUGUUCUGUACAAGUGAAACUAUUUUAAAUAACUCUGGGGAGUUCUUUCUCUGACGGUUGCAUUUCAUUUUUAUGAAGCAGCACCUGCCUUUGUGCACCCCCAAAGUGUUCCGACAUGCACAUUUGCAAGUGUUCGCAUGUGCUGUGUAUUGUGGGUGUCCCUGCAAGCAUUAUGGCCAACAGGAAAACAAUCCGGGCAAGGUAAAAUGAAAUUUGGGUUCAGCUUGGCUUUAGUUAGCAAGCAAUGGGCCAAAACUUCUGGAGUCUGACAUCAAGCAAUUCGUUUCUUACACAUUGAAACACAGUGAAACUUUGGGCAAAGGUCUCCACGUGAUGGUUGCCAGAGCUUUAGGGCAGCCCCUCGUACAGGUCAGAUCAGUUUUCAGUGGAGCUCUCAGUUUUGUCUCCCAAGGAGAAAAGCAUUCUUCAGGGCAAGCUGCACUUCAGAUUUCUGUCAAAGCAUGAGGUAGGAGAGCACAAACAUGUACUUAAUGCCCUUGACCACGUUAUGUAGUUCUUCCAGCCCCAAUGACAAGUGGAAAAGGGCAGAUGUCCCUCUUAUGGAAGAUCUAUUACAAUCUCUCUUCUGGUGCUGGGAAUAAAGAAAAUUCACUGUUAGA